rnacentral:lncRNA from 1 species
AAAGGUAAAGGAUUUGAUUGAGAAGAAAAAAGGACCUAACUUUAUCCCCCGCCACGUAAAUCAUCGGCUUUACUAUUAGGAAAUAACCACGUCGUCCAACAGUUGUUGGAGUUGGGAUAAGAGCUCCUCUUCCACACAAAGAGGUUCCUCCUUAAAAGUCAAGUGUCCAUUCACGUCUUCCGAGUUACACCACAAAAAUCACGAUUGCUGGCCCUCUUUGUUAUGGGAUAAACAAAUGUCUCGGGAAAGUUUCCUUGAGACAUCUCUGACCAUACCAAAGUCAUUCCAAAAAACUAGUGUUUUCUCCCGAACCCAUACAUGAAUAUGAAUUGAAAGCUAGUAGGAAGAAUGUCAUUCACCUCGAUCAAGGCCCAAAACCGAUGGAUGAUAUAUACCCCCCAACUUUAGAUAAAGCAUUAGCUCUUGGAACCGAGGGGAGCCGGCAUUCUUCGAGACCCAUAGUUGCUUUGUGACUUUUUUAACCAAAGCGGUUUGCUGAUCAAUGCCCGAAUCUCCACCACCAUUUGCUAAAGAGCUGAGUUGAAGGCCAAGUAGUAGUUCUUCGGAAUAUGAGGCCCCACCCAUACUUUUUUCCUUCAUCGAAACCCACUGAUCAAGGUGAAUCUUCCGCUUCUCUUCUCAUCUCCCCACAAAAAUUGACGCUUGCAGCUUUUCCAAUGAAUAGCUAUCCAUGAUGGCCAUUUUGAACAACAGACAUGAAGUAAAUCGGAAGAUUACCAUGAUGAUUUAAUGCGAGUGAUACGACCCCUAAGGGUAAUAAGUUUCCUCUUCCAAAAAGACAAUCGCUUCUUGAACCUCUCUCCUAUGGGCUUCCACAGUUGAAAUUCUCUUCGACAUGUUAGCCUCCAAAGGGAGGACCGAAGCUAUGAAUGAAAAUGGGAGCUCACCCCUCUUACCUUUCAGCCAAAUUUUGCACCACUUUUGAAGAUCGAUUACCGAGGGUGUAAAUCCAACAACCAUACUUUUUGAAAAAAAUUUUGAUUUUGAAACUAGAGAUUAGCCAAAGCACGAAGGAUUCUCUUAAUCUUAAUUAAUUUAUCUUUUAUCAUUUUCACAAAAAAUCACCGUGUCAUCUGCAAAUUGGAAGAUGAGAAAGAAACAUUAACCUCAGCCAUCCCAAAGGAAACUACAUUUGCGAUUAAUUAUGAAAACUUAGCUAUGUGGAAUAAGAAUUCAAUCAUCUGCCACAAUAUUGAACAAGAAACGGGGAGGGAUAGCGAGGAUCACCUGGACGGUGGGUAUACCUCUUUUGGUCUUGACAAUCAGACGUCUCUGGACCGUUAAUCAAAUAGGACAUAGACCCAAUAGAAAUAAUUCUUGAAUCCAGUUGCACCAGUUUUUUGCACCACAACCCUCAUAAUCUUGCAACAAUCCAUUAAAAACCCCUAAUUUACACAGGUAUACGCCUUCUUAAACAAAAUCGAUCUUAAAUAUCAACCAUUGUUUUCUUGAUGAUUUCCACCCUUCGAUGAUUUCAUUGGCACAAUUAGAACACCUCCAAGAUCUACCUCCCUCCAACAAAUGCGGACUGGGAUUCACAGAUCACACUCGACAAAACUCUUUUCAGCCUUGCUGCUAAGACUUUGGCCAAUAACUUGCAUACCCAUCCAACUAUGCUAAGACGAAUGUUCAUUUUUACCAGUGUAUACGAAAAAAAAAUUCUCACACUUAUCAGUAUUAACAACAAACAAUUAAUUUUUUUUUAUCUUUGUAUGCAUGAGCAAAUGAAGAAGGUACACACAUUUUGAAACACCAAAAUAAAAAAUUUCGCGAGUAAUUUACUUACAUUUUUCAUAGUGUAAUGUUAUGAAAUGUAUAUUUUAUAAUCCUUCAUUAAUUUAUUUUAUUCCAAAAGUAAGACUUACAUGUCCUGUAAAUAUAUAAACGGGUUGCUAAUGGGGAAUAAUGAAAAAAGAUGUGAAGUAGGUCAUUUACGAAAAUAGUGUAUGAUUUUUAGGGUUUAGGUAUUUACAUGGAAGAUGACAAUGGAAGAAAAAUAUGAAAAAAUGUGAGAUGAACCACAUGGGGUGUAUUGAGUUAAAAUUAGGAUUACUUUUUUAUUAGUUUGUCUGUAAUAAUAAUUUCAUUUGAGGGUAUAAUCGUGAUUAGAAAAAAUUAUUUUUUGGGGUGUCCUGAGACCACUUUGCUUUGCAUUUAGAAACUCCCCUUAUUUCAGAGUAAAACUAGUUUUUGACUAUUUUUCCUCUAUCGGCAGAGGCGGUCCCGGGGGCGGGCGGGGGCUACGACCCCCUUAAAUUUGAAAAAUCCAAAAUAAAAUAAAAUUUAUUUAUUUUUAUAUAUUUUUGUUAGUUUUGACUAUUUUGUUAUUGGUCUGCUCCUCCUUAAUUUUUUUCCUGAAAUGUCCAUUGAAAAUGUAUAUUUUGCCCCCUCUCAAUAAUAUUUCUGCGUCCGCCACUGCCUAUCGGCAUGGGCUUCUCUCCAGUUUCAAAAAAAUGAAUUGGUCCAAUUUUAAAUUUUC